UACGAGAGCCUCGAGCGUUAUCCGGAAUUAUUGGGCGUAAAGGGUGCGUAGGUUGUUCUGUUAGUCUUUUGUUAAAUCCCCGGGCUUAACUCGGGAAUCGCAAAAGAAACGGCAGAGCUUGAAAGUGUGAGAGGCGUACGGAACUCAUGGUGUAGGGGUGAAAUCCGUUGAUAUCAUGGGGAACAUCAAAUGCGAAGGCAGUACGCUGGCACAUAUUAGACACUGAGGCACGAAAGCGUGGGUAGCGAAUGGG
rnacentral:misc_RNA from 1 species